rnacentral:rRNA from 1 species
CUAAUACAUGCAAGUCGAACGAGUUUUGGUCGAUGAACGGUGCUUGCAUUGUGAUUCAACUUAAAACGAGUGGCGGACGGGUGAGUAACACGUGGGUAACCUGCCCUUAAGUGGGGGAUAACAUUUGGAAACAGAUGCUAAUACCGCAUAAAUCCAAGAACCGCAUGGUUCUUGGCUGAAAGAUGGCGCAAGCUAUCGCUUUUGGAUGGACCCGCGGCGUAUUAGCUAGUUGGUGAGGUAACGGCUCACCAAGGCGAUGAUACGUAGCCGAACUGAGAGGUUGAUCGGCCACAUUGGGACUGAGACACGGCCCAAACUCCUACGGGAGGCAGCAGUAGGGAAUCUUCCACAAUGGACGCAAGUCUGAUGGAGCAACGCCGCGUGAGUGAAGAAGGCUUUCGGGUCGUAAAACUCUGUUGUUGGAGAAGAAUGGUCGGCAGAGUAACUGUUGUCGGCGUGACGGUAUCCAACCAGAAAGCCACGGCUAACUACGUGCCAGCAGCCGCGGUAAUACGUAGGUGGCAAGCGUUAUCCGGAUUUAUUGGGCGUAAAGCGAGCGCAGGCGGUUUUUUAAGUCUGAUGUGAAAGCCCUCGGCUUAACCGAGGAAGCGCAUCGGAAACUGGGAAACUUGAGUGCAGAAGAGGACAGUGGAACUCCAUGUGUAGCGGUGAAAUGCGUAGAUAUAUGGAAGAACACCAGUGGCGAAGGCGGCUGUCUGGUCUGUAACUGACGCUGAG